CCAGUGCGCGUGGUUGCGCCGUGUAGCCUGGCCAGUUCAGCGUGCACGCACGAAAGCAUGUUGUCGCUGCACUCUGUGACAGCGACGUCAAGCCAAUCUUUCACAAUGCAGGAACGCUGGAAGAUAUUCAUAUUAGCCAUCGCACGCUUCUUGCUAAAACUGCAUUGAGUCACUGAUGACACAGUGGGUGGCAAUUUGUUUGAAGCGCUCAAGAACGUGGAGAGCUGAUGCUUUCAAUUGAUGUCACUUCUACACGUGUGAAGAACACAACAGUGAGCCUAUGGCCCAAUUUUAUCAUCGGUCCUUCGAUUUACCGGACAUAGAUGCAGAAGACAUUACUAAGGGGUUGGCUGACGAUGCGAAUGACCUACAUGAGCCGACAAUGCCGUUCUUGGGUUGACAUGGGAUGGACGUCCGGUAGUGCCAAUAUGAUGACCUUGAAGAAUGUAAUGCGUACGUUCUUUAAGUGAAUAAGUAAAGAUAUAAUGGGAACUCACAGCCCUA